rnacentral:lncRNA from 1 species
UGUACACUCCGCUGCUCCUCUGGAAUGCACUGCUACCAGGAUGGUAAACUCUCAGCACCAGUAAGGAAUUAGAGAGGUGGAGUUUAAAGGAAAGGAAGACAUUUACUUGGAAAAGGAUGGGAAAAGAGAAGACAGACAGCUACUCUGGAAGAUCAAGGGGCAUCGGAAAGGGAUUGAACUCAGGACCUCAUGCUUGCCAGGCAGGCACUGUGCACUGAGCUACAUUCCCUACCCAUGCCUUCCUUUAUUUCAAAUGCCACUGCUUUGAUUCCUUACUGGUGCUGAGAGUUUACAAUCCUGGUAGGUGUGUGUCCCAGCAGAGCAGUGGUGUAUACAUUCCACCCUGAUGCAAUAAAACCAUGCUGUAUGCAAGAAAACUGAAGCACAGAUAGUAAUCAGUAUUUGUUCAGUGGCCAAGCUGGUGCUCAAAUAAGAAGCUAAUUCCAGAACCCUGGCUCCUUACAUCAUAAUCCAGUAUCUUCUAUAUAUAAGGAAAACAUGUGAAGAAAAGAAAAGGUGCUUUGCACAAGGACCUGGUUUAGCUAAAUUCUACUGUAGUAACAUUAUUCAUCAUUUAAAAUUCAGAAUGCUCUAACUGCAGAACUAAUCAAGAUAAACUGAAAAGCACUGGUAUUGUUCACAAUUGCUGAAAGUCUUGGCUCAAAUAAGAGGUGCAGAUUUAGAAAUGUUUUGAUAAAGAUUUGAUUUCAGAUAUUGCAGAAUAAAAUGGUUUUGCCUUAUUAUAUUUAGUAAGCAAAAUUAUUCUGUGAAAUUAGGUUAUUUAGAAAUUAUUUGAGAAGAUUAUAAAAAAUUCAGUCUAUUCUGAUGCAUUUGGACGUUUUAUUCCUUUAUUCAGUAAUGCUGGGUUCUUGUUUUUGUUUUUUUUGGUACUGGGGAGGGGAUCAAACUUGGGACCUUGCACUUGUGAGACAGGUGGCAGAACCACUGAGCUAAAUCUCUGGCCCUAUUCAAUAAUGCUGUUAGCAGUUUGGGGAAAAUGUUAUGCAACUUGGUACAAUUAUGAAGAUUAUACCUUCAGCAACCAUAGUAGGAAUUUGUAGUGGCCUUGGUUCUGUCUAGUAAGGGCAAUGACAAGCCAGGGGUGGUGGUACAUGCCUGUAAUCCCAGCAUUUGGGAGGAUGAAGCAGGAGAAUUGCUGUGAUUUUGUUCCUUUUUUUUUUUUUUUUCAGUACCAGGGAUCGAACUCAGGACCUUGUGCUUGCCAGGCAGGUGUGGUGCCACUGAACUAAAUCCCUGGCCCAGGAAUGCUAUGAUUUUAUUGCCAGCCUUGGUAACACAGUGAACUCAAGGCCAGUCUGAACUGUACAGUGAGGCCGUCUCUGAGAGAAAGGCAGACAGACAGACAGACACAGAGAGAGAAAGACACAGAGACAUAGAAAGAAACAAAAACCGGCAAUGAACUUCAUGAGUUCUUCACUCUAACAAGAGCUUUAGUAUUCUUCAUACCUCAGGUGUUCUAAUUAGCUUUUGUGUUAUGGUUCUAAUUAUCUUAAUAUGCAUCCUUUCAUCAUAAAAUACUUUAAGUUUGGAUCUUACUAAUUCAGAACUCAUUAUAAUUCAUACACUGAACCCAAAUUACCUUGGCUCAAGUACACAGAGAGGGAAAGGCUUUAGCUAAAUAAUGUGACUCACACCCAACACGCUGCAGAGUUUUGAUUAUUUACUUUGCAAAACCAUAAGCUUAUUCCAUUUACAAAGCUAUAGCAUAGCAGAAAGCCUUUUCCACUUUCCAGCAUGCACUGUACAGCCAACAGCAUGUUUAUGAAAGAAAGCAGGUUGGUGCCCAGUGAAUCAGAAUUCUCCAGCUUCCCAUUGUCAAGCAUCUAUGGACCUGAGGACUUGCCUGGAUGUCCUUGCCCAAGUCAGUCAGGAGCUACAAGUUCAUAUGUUUUUUCAAAUAAUAAAACUGAGUAUUGCAC